UGGGGGCUUAUUUGGCCUCCCCAGGAUGGACUGGAGCAUCAGUAGUGCCCGGGUUUAUCACAGGACAGAUACUCAAGACACUCUUAUCACCAUUAGGUGGACUUGGAGGAGCAAAAAACAAGUGCAGUGGCUCCUCAGCAGAGACACUCCUGAAUGUAUAGACAUGGGAACCACCUUCAGCAUCAAAAAAGGAAACGUUCUGCAUGCCCAUAUCCAGAAAAAUCCCCACUCGCUGUAACUUGCGGUCUACGAAGAGGAAAGUCAGCGGCACCGUGCUGGCAGAGAGGCGGCUUCCAUCCCUCAAACUCACAGUCCAGAAUCCACGCUCUGUGGUCAGAUGGAUCCUCCCUUUGCGGUGAACAGAUUCUCUGCAGACUCCCAGGUCCCAUUCUGUGCUUGUUCCCACGUCCACCUCCCAGUAGUGGCGGCCACAGGUAAAGCGAGGGGAGCCCAGGAUGCAAAUGGACACGUCAAAUCUCUCGGCAAGGUCUUGCCGAUUCUGUGUGAUGCACCCACUUCGGACGCUCCUGAGGUCGUCAGAAAUGAGGAGGAAGUUGUUGGCUGUGUCGGCAUCCAAGGUCAUAUCCACUGUGAAAAGGAAAAAAAGUUGAUCAGAAAAUGGACAGAAGCCAACCCCAUGCCUCUCCUCUACUUCAAAGGCCCAAAUAUCUCUUGACUUUGGUUUCUUUAAUUCUCUUCUUCCCCCAAAAUCAAAACUUUUCAUGAGGCAACUUCCCUGACUAGUUCAAAUUCUCAUAGGUAUGCUUUGUGGCAAUACCCAACUCUUAUUCACAGUAGCAAUUAUUUUACUUUAUGUCACGUGUUUGCUUCAUUGGACUUUUCUUCAUUUAGAGUGGAGGGUCUCUGAAGGCAGACACCAUGACCCCCUUUCUACCACCUUGAUGCAUGAAAAAAUGAAUGAUAAUUAAGACAAUGCAAAUGGUCGAUGUUAAAUAUGUUUCUGCUUCCAUCUUGUAUUGCUCAACUCAGUAUAUAGAGCAUGAUUCCAGGCCUUUGUUUUCCAUGUUUGUAAGCAAAUUAAUUGUGCAUGGUUCUGACAGCAGGUAGGGUAUCUCUGCAGCUGACAAUGUGAUGACAGAGGUGCCGGUCCUGGACAUUAGGAGGCUCCAAGGCCAGGAGGAAGAGGGGGGCCUUAGAUGAAAGAAUGUUUUCCAUCCUACAUGGGAGGUGAAACCUUAAGCAAAACAAUGGUAAAUUUUGGAGUGAAGAGAAAGGUAUUUGAAAGUUGUUUGUUGGCUGAGCGCGGUGGCUCACACCUGUAAUCCCAGCACUUUGGGAGGCCGAGACGGGUGGAUCACGAGGUCAGGAGAUCGAGACCAUCCUGGCUAACACGUGAAACCCUGUCUCUACUAAAAAACAUACAAAAAAAUUAGCCGGACAUGGUGGCGGGUGCCUGUAGUCCUAGCUACUCGGUAGACUGAGGCAGGAGAAUGGCAUGAACCCAGGAGGCGGAGCUUGCAAUGAGCAGAGAUCAUGCCACUGCACCUCCAGCCUAGGCGGCAGAGCGAGACUCCAUCUCAAAAAAUAAAAAAAAAAAGAAAGUUGUUCGUCAUAACUGACUGAUCGUAGAGAAUAAGGGCAGUAAAUACAAAGGUCAAUAAUUUAAUGCAUUGGGUAUGUGGUUGAUAGGUGAAGCUGCCAAUUCUCAUGGAGGAGGCAGUGUGAUCUGGCCUAAAGAAAAUUAAUUGUCCAGAGCAUUCUGAAAAAAAAAUCUACAGAACAUAUGAUCCUUCAAGUCAAAAAACUGAUGAUCACCAAUAUAGAUUUUAUAGAUUACAGUAAGACUUGAGGAGACUGAUUGCUGUUUGAUGGUGAAUUAGGGAAUGAAAUGAGAUGAGUGGACAUGGACAAGGAAGGAGGAAGAGGGUUCCAAACAUGACUUAGGCAGGGUGAAUCUGUCCUCCAUAUUUCAGCAGAGACACAGUCAGGUAUGGGUAGGUGGAUGAGUAGAGAUCAUGGGUGUCAGGGCAGAAGCCACCACCAUUUAUAGGUGUAAUUCUUUGCCCAGGCUGACCAUAACCUCUUCAUUUAAAUGUCCCUAUUCCCCAGAGUUAUGGAGAGUGAUAGUAUUUUCUGUAGCCAGGACCCCUGUUGAAGUCCAUGGCACACCGAUGAGGAGACCAGCGUCUGCAACUCGCCCCACUCACAGAAACAAACACCAUAGGUGCUCCAUUCCAAACUCUUCCCAACCCUGGGGUGAGGUUGUUUGGUACAGUGGGUGCCAAUACUCACUGUGCAUUAGAAUUACCAGGCCCAUUUAAAUGUCAGAGUCCUGGGAACCUUUGCUAGAGAGAAAUUCAAAUUAAGUUGCUCUGUGUUUUUGCUACUCAGCAAAGUCCCCAAGCCAGCGGGAUCAAUCCUGAGACUUCCCAGUUCAGCAUCUGCAUUUUAACAAGAUCCCCAGGUAAUCUGAGCACACUAAGUUUAGAGAAUCCCUUGUCUAACCCAUGACAUAGACAUCAGGUUUUUUUUUUUGAGACGGAGUCUCACUCUGUCACCCAGGCUGGAGUGCAGUGGUGCAAUCUUGGCUCACUGCAAGCUCCGCCCCCCCCAGGUUAACGCCAUUCUCCUGCCUCAACCCCCAAGUAGCUGGGACUACAGGCACCCACCACCAAGCCUGGCUAAUUUUUUGUAUUUUUAGUAGAGACAGGGUUUCACCGUGUUAUCCAGGAUGGUCCCGAUCUCCUGACCUCGUGAUCCACCCGCCUCGGCCUCCCAAAGUGCUGACAUUACAGGCAUGAGCCACCAUGCCCAGCCAGCCUUUUUUUUGGAGAUCACCAGGUGAUUCUGUAUGUUGUCAGGGCUGAGAAUCUGAUGAUGAAGAAGCAUCUCAAUUUUAGGUGCCAGACAGCAGCUAAUCCCCAUAUGGAAUGAGGGGCCAGUUGCACAGAUGAUUUUUCCUGGUCUGGUCGUAGGAAGGGGGCAGUGUAUACAGAUCCCUCACCUUGGAACUUCCGCAUCCUUGGGUUCAUCUGCAGAAUCUUCUUCAGCUUGGGCUCCAGUUCCUUGAUGUGGGAAGCCAGCCUCUCUAGCUGCCAACUGGGCCUGAUUUUGUUCUUCUGAGAGACCAUGGAACAGCAACAGCAAAGUAGAUCCUCCCCAUGGGGCUCCUUCUGCAGUGAAUUGAUGCACUUGAAGCAGACAGCGCAUCCACACUCCAGGGACAUUGGUUUCUCUAGAUAGUCUGAGCAGACGGGACAGCUGCUUGCUUCUUGGAAGAGUGCAGCCAUGUCCACUGCCAGGGGAAAAGUGCACAAGGGAAGAAAAUUUCCGUGAGGUGAAAGCCUGUUAGUUGUGACAAGUGACAACCUUUUCAUGCAUAAAGGUAUUGUGUCCCAGCUUUGUCACUUCUAGAACAAGACCAUGAGUACAAACACUCAAGCACAUCCCCCCACCCCCCGUCUUCAGAGAUUUGAAGUUCUAUUGGGAAAGAAAGUCACGAAUCAUCACUGUGCUCUGAACUGAGGUGGAGGAAGGGUCCAUUCUACUGGUGACCCAGCAACUGAGCCUGAGCCAGUGACACGGCAGCACCCAUGUGAGGAACAGCGAGCUGGGGUCAUUUCACCUCCUCCUAGGGGAACCCCAGCAAGAGAUUGAUUGAUGAACAUAAGAAUUAGGGGCUGGGAGGCCGGGCGUGGUGGCUCAGGCCUAUAAUCCCAGCACUUUGGGAGGCUGACGUGAGUGGAUCAUCUGAGGUCGUCAAAAGUUCGAGACCAGCCUGAUGGGUGAAACCCCAUCUCUACUGAAAAUACAAAAGAAUUAGCCAGGCGUGGUGGCACACGCCUGUAAUCCCAGAUACUUGGGAGGCUGAGGCAGGAGAAUUGCUUGAACCUGGGAGGCAAAGGUUGCAGUGAGCCAAGAUCCAGCCAUUGCACUCCGGCCUGGACAACAGAGUGAGACACCAUCUCAAAAAAAAAAAAAAAAAAAAAGAGAGGGACUGGAUGCAGUAGCUCACAUCUGUAAUCCCAGCACUUUGCGAGGCCAAGGCUGGAAGAUCCCUUGAGCCAAGGAGUUUGAGAUCAGCCUGGGCAACACAGGAAGACCCCCUCUCUACAAAUAAUAGAAAAAUUAGCAGUGAGCAGAGAUCACACCAGGUCACUCCAACCUGGACAACAGAGUUAAGACCCUGUCUCACCAAAAAAAAAAAAAAAAAAAUCACAUCCUUCUCCAGCCUUGGAAAUGAAUACCAAAUUGACUGCCACCACUCCUAGACUGGAGAUCUGGGGAUCCAGGGUGACUGGUUUUCAACUCUGAGGCAGCACUCAGACAGCCUUUGUUGAAUUCAUUAAUUACGAAUUUCUCUCAUUCAUCCCCCAAGGCAUAACCCCCAUUUCUAGGCAUCUAAGGAGGAAAAACACACACACAGGCAUGGGCUCACCUCUUCUGCUGGAAGCUCCUCUGUCCUCCAGCUGCUUCCACUGGGCGCUCAGGUCUUGUGCGGAAGGGGCACAUGAGGGCGUUUUAUUGGUGAGAUUCCCACCUCCCACUGGGUCAUGCCCUUCCACACCCUCUAACCUAAUGAGGCUUUGAUUUAAUUAUAACAGGGAAUUAGGUUUUUACUGGUGAUAUAUCUCCAGUUAAUUGUAACUUUAGUAAAUCCUUCAUCCUGACAGUGUAUUUUUCUUUCAUAUGAAGAUAAGAUUAAAUUGCCUUUAUAUUAAAUUAGGCUUAAUGUACUAACUUCAAAAGCUUAUUUUAGAGAUGUUUCCAUCAGUUGUCAGUAAAGAUAAUUCCUGUAAUAUGUUGUAGGCUUCAAGCUUUGCUUGGAAACCUGAAGUAUUAAGUAUGAUUGGAUUUGCAAUUUUACAAAAUGGUUUAAAUUCAUAUACAUCAGACUCAAAGGUAAUAGGGGCAUGCAUUCCAUUGAGGAAAUUCUAGGGAAUUUUUAUUUAUUUUCAUUGGUUUAUUUCUGGUUUUGAAAAAAUUUCAUAAUUCAUAGGAAAAAAUUGGAUAAUUACUAUUUUGACAAAUGACCAUUAAGCUUCUUGGACCUUGAGUACUUCACACAGUGUUAAGAUAAAAGUCACAAUUUAAAAAAAAAAGAUGAUUUUCUUGUGAAACUUGUGUUCUCAAAUAAAAAUUGUUACCCGUGAA